AUUGAACGCUAGCGGGAUGCUUUACACAUGCAAGUCGAACGAGUGGCGGACGGGUGAGUAAUAUAUCGGAACGUGCCCAGUAGACGGGGAUAACUAGUCGAAAGAGUGGCUAAUAGCGCAUACGAUUGGAGCGGCCGUUGUCGGAUUAGCGAGGUGGUGAGGUAAAGGCUCAUCAAGGGAACGAUCCGUAGCAGGUUUUAGAGGACGAGCAGCCACACUGGGACUGAGACACGGCCCAGACUCCUACGGGAGGCAGCAGUGGGGAAUUUUGGACAAUGGGCGAAACCCUGAUCCAGCCAGCCCGCGUGAAUGAGAAGGACUUCGGGUUGUAAAGUACUUUUGUCAGAGAAGCGGUAUCUACAGAAUAAGCACCGGCUAACUACGUGCCAGCAGCCGCGGUAAUAC
rnacentral:rRNA from 1 species